AUUGAACGCUGGCGGCAGGCCUAACACAUGCAAGUCGAGCGGAUGAAGGGAGCUUGCUCCUGGAUUCAGCGGCGGACGGGUGAGUAACGCCUAGGAAUCUGCCUGGUCGUGGGGGAUAACGUCCGGAAACGGGCGCUAAUACCGCAUACGUCCUGAGGGAGAAAGUGGGGGAUCUUCGGACCUCACGCUAUCAGAUGAGCCUAGGUCGGAUUAGCUAGUUGGUGGGGUAAAGGCCUACCAAGGCGACGAUCCGUAACUGGUCUGAGAGGAUGAUCAGUCACACUGGAACUGAGACACGGUCCAGACUCCUACGGGAGGCAGCAGUGGGGAAUGUUGGACAAUGGGCGAAAGCCUGAUCCAGCCAUGCCGCGUGUGUGAAGAAGGUCUUCGGAUUGUAAAGCACUUUAAGUUGGGAGGAAGAGCAGUAAGUUAAUACCUUGCUGUUUUGACGUUACCAACAGAAUAAGCACCGGCUAACUUCGUG
rnacentral:rRNA from 1 species